GGAGUUAGCCGGUGCUUCUUCUGUGAGUGAUGUCCUUCCUGCCGGCUAUUAACCCGCAGGCCUUCUUCCUCACUGAAAGUGCUUUACAACCCGAAGGCCUUCUUCACACACGCGGCAUGGCUGGAUCAGGGUUGCCCCCAUUGUCCAAUAUUCCCCACUGCUGCCUCCCGUAGGAGUCUGGGCCGUGUCUCAGUCCCAGUGUGGCUGAUCAUCCUCUCAGACCAGCUACGGAUCGUCGCCUUGGUGAGCCGUUACCUCACCAACCAGCUAAUCCGACAUAGGCUCAUCCGAUAGCGCGAGGCCCGAAGGUCCCCCGCUUUCCCCCGUAGGGCGUAUGCGGUAUUAUCCUGGGUUUCCCCAGGUUAUCCCCCACUACCGGGCAGAUUCCUAUGCAUUACUCACCCGUCCGCCGCUCGCCACCAGGGAGCAAGCUCCCCGUGCUGCCGCUCGACUUGCAUGUGUUAGGCCUGCCGCCAGCGUUCAAUCUGAGCCAGAAUCAAACUCUGA
rnacentral:rRNA from 1 species